rnacentral:lncRNA from 1 species
GGUCUGGUUAGCCCGCCUUCUGGACGUGACAUCAUUUCCCUCCCCUCCCCCAGCAACCGGGAAGCUCCAGGCCUUAGCAACCGAACUAGGCCAAAUCGAACUGAACUAGGCGAGGUCGAGCUAGCCUGGCUAUUGAGAGUUAAAGUCUGGAGAAGGCCUGGAGUGGGAGAUUGGGGCGAAUGAGGAUAGGGUGGGGAAUGGUGGAGCUGGUGGUGAAUGAUAGCGGUAGCGACGAGGGCCCGCAUGGCGACUUCAGGCCCACCUGUGCUAUUCAUAUUGCUGGUCUCAAGGCUCCCAGCCAAUCAACCUGUCUGCUCCUUCGCGCAUUCAAUCCAGGGUGCUAACAAAUAAACUCUAUUUCUCCCCAGCCUGUCCUAUUCCCUUGGGGAACUACCUGAGGCUUGCCUUACCUUUCCCCUCUUGUUCAUCAAUGCCUUUAGAAGUCUUCUUCCUCAAGAAAUCUUAGUGGUUUUCAAACUUCGAUGUGCAUACACAUCCUCUGAGGAACUUGUUAAAUGGCGCCUUCUGAAUUAGGAAGUCUAAGAUGGGGCCUGCAAUUCUGCAUUUCUAACAGGCUCUUGUUGCUGCUGCUCUUGGUCCCACCCCACUUUGAAUAACAUGAUUCUGGAAUAACUUCAUCCCAUUCUCUUCACCCUUUGGUCUGUGCCCCUUUAGUUUGUCUUAUAUUUUACAUAUAUAACUGGUAUAACCUGCUCCACUGGAAGUGUCAGUGGAAAACCGGUCCUCCUCUUCCUAGUGAAAGGUGCUGGUCCCUCUGUGGUUCAGCCUUGCUUGCCCAGCUCCCUGCACAGGCUGGGCCACCACAGUUCUGGAAAGGAGAACCCCACUCUCAGUUCCUCAUUUUGGCUCCCUCUCCAGUCUGCUCUGUAACACCCCACCAUUGUGCCCCAGACUAUAAGAACCAUGCCAGGACAGCCAGGAGGGGAGAGAUUUCUGGCAAAGGCAGAAAGUCUAGAAUAAGUCACAAAAGAUGUGAUUACAUCCUAUCCCUGGACAAGGGUCGCUAAUUUGUAUUAUGUGUGCCUUAACUGAGAGGUCAACUCCAAUGACCCUUCAAAGAAUAGCUUCCCUCAAUUAAAAGAAACUGUACUCUGCUACGUGUAUUGCUUGCUGUUCUGUAUUCUUAAUUACUGUACUGUAUUCUUACUAUUUAGUGUGUAUAUAUUUCAGUUCCAAUACAUUCCACAGUUUGUGGACCUUGCCUCUAUUUCUUUUGUGUUUCAUUGCCUUCUAUUCAUUCAUUCAACAAAUAUUUUGUUGAGGAGUUCCCAACCUAGUUCAGUGAGUUAAGGACCCAAUAUUGUCUCACUGAGAAUGCAAGUUGGAUCUCUGGCCUCACUGAGUUAAAGAUCUGGCAUCAC